UACGGAGGGUGCGAGCGUUGUCCGGAAUCAUUGGGGCGUAAAGGGCGCGUAGGCGGCCUUCUAAGUCGAACGUGAAAUCCCUCGGCUCAACCGAGGAACUGCGUCCGAUACUGGUGGGCUUGAAUCCGGGAGAGGGAUGUGGAAUUCCAGGUGUAGCGGUGAAAUGCGUAGAUAUCUGGAGGAACACCGGUGGCGAAGGCGGCAUCCUGGACCGGUAUUGACGCUGAGGCGCGAAAGCUAGGGUAGCAAACGGG
rnacentral:rRNA from 1 species